rnacentral:lncRNA from 1 species
UGGAUAUAAUGUCUUGAAGGACUGGCUAUCCUUUUAAAGAUGAAAAGGCUUUGUAUCUGUAAUUACUGAUCAUGUGAUACACAGUUUCAAAUAAAAGACUUAGUGUCAUUCUUUCUUUUUGGAAGACAUUAGAAACAAUUGCAGAAUAAAAAGCAAGCCCAUCAACAGCAGAAAAUCAGUCAGAAAACUGGCUAAAAUUCAGCUCUUUGUGUUC